AGGGAACGCAUCUGGAAGAUGUGUCUUCAGGACGAAGAACACAGGGACUGCUUAGGACGAGUGAAGGGACGUUUCAGGAUGAAACAAGGGACACCUCCAGGAUGGAGAUUGAGAGCCAGUUCAGGAUGAUUGGUGGGUUAGGAUAGCCUAAGGAUUAACGCCGGGAUGGUGUAUAACAUUGCGAUGGAUUGCUGGUUAGUAUAACCAUACGGAAAAGUUUUCAGGGAUUGAGCAGGGAGCAUCAAUUUUAGCUGGAUUGCUAUAAAACGAAUUGAGGGGUACUGGUAAAACAGUACCCCUUUUUUUGU
rnacentral:other from 1 species